AUACAGGUGACCGUAUCCUGAGCCCCGGGCAGAGGCAGGACCGAGCCGCAAUCUGAACAGAAAUCCAGGUCCGACUGAAAGCUGGAGCAAGUAUUGGCGAGGUCCAUGACAGACAUGCGGUCGGGUCUGAGGAGGGAGUUGGAAGUUUAUUAACAAAAGAGAGAAGAGUUCCUGUCCCAGAGGUCGUAACUAUUCUGUCCCAGGACCUAGGAGUAUAUAACCCGAACCCUCCUGCCACGCACGCCCUCCUGCCUCUGCGACCAAGGAGCCGAAACGCCCGGAAUUCCCAGACAGCGUCGGGUACUAAAGCACUUGGAACCCUUUCCAGGGGCCGGUGAGAGGAGUUAACCAACUCCGUGGGCUAGAGCGCCAGCUCUGCGCCCGCGGCGGGGCAGCGAGAUAGAGCCGGCUAGAGCGUCAGGCUUUCGCGUUGACGAUUGGCUGUGACGUCAUAAUUAAUUGCGAACCGUGUCUCGGGAGCGUUAGAGAUGGAGACUAACGUCUUUCAAGGGAGAUUGCGUCUCCACUUUCACCCUGGUACUGAGAGAUUGAGCACAAAAUUGGUAACCAAUGCUGCGCUUCCAGCAAAUUUUCCCACCAGCACCCAAUCCGGGGAUAUUUAUUCUCUUUGUCUCACAUCCUACAGGAACGCAGUCGCGGGGUAUAUCCCCCUGAAAACCGUACGUUGCCAAAUAAUGAUUUCUUUGGAUUAGAGAACUACAACUCCCCUGGGUCCUGAGCCGGUAUUUCCCUUUUGCGGCUGCACCGUAGUUAAAAACAAAGCUAAGUGUUCUGGGACGUAUAGUUCUAGCGUUCCUUGGGUCCCGCUGGCGAGCGUGGGCUUUCUGCAGCUCGCAACCGGCCUCGUGCUUUGCGGACGGUUCACUGCGCUUGGAAAGGGAUUGGCCUGGGGUACAUCAUCUAAAGAUCCUAGGAUUGCUGCAGGUCAGCAGUCUCCACUGGAAAAAAAGAUCUUGCAUGUAUUUCAAGUCCUCUGAUGAAUCAUGUGAUCUACUAGACCCUGAAGAUACAGUGAAGAGCAAAAGAACACGGAUGAAAUGAGAAACAAAAACGAUGGAGAAAACCAAAAAAGGGGACACAUGGGAUCCAGGCAAUAGGAGAGCCAGCAUAAGAGAGAGGCAGAGGGAUGCCCAGGAUGAGGUGAAGACGAUCUUGGAAAUCAGCCCAGAUGUGCAUGCACCAGUCCACGUGUGGCAGGACCAAGGGAAGUGUCUUCACAAAGAUGAGGCUUUGAUUUGUUGGAGAAACUGUUACCAGAAAAACAGGUCCCGAUCCCGACCCCAAAAGAGUAUUCUUGGAUCUUGCACAGGAAGGAAUUAAAGGUCUAGCUCUGUCUCCUCAGCACAUGUUCUAGGCUCUGACUGCAAGUGCUGACUUGGGCUCCCAGCCCCACACAGACCCUCUGUUCCAUGAAAGGGCCAUCUAUGCAAAGUGCCCCCCAAAUGCCAAAGGAGCCAAUAAACCAAGGAACAAGACAG
rnacentral:lncRNA from 1 species